GGACAAUUGCUCAGUUGUAGAGCAUUUGCUCUGCACACAGAAGGUCUCAGGUUCAAUCUCUGGCAUCUCCA